rnacentral:rRNA from 1 species
GAUGAACGCUAGCGGGAGGCUUAACACAUGCAAGUCGUGGGGCAGCACGGGGUAGCAAUAUCCUGGUGGCGACCGGCGCACGGGUGAGUAACGCGUAUGCAACCUACCCAGUACAGGGGGAUAGCCCGGAGAAAUUCGGAUUAAUACCCCAUAAUGAUAUUAAGAGGCAUCUUUUAAUAUUUAAAGCUACGGCGGUACUGGAUGGGCAUGCGUAAGAUUAGCUAGUUGGUAGGGUAACGGCCUACCAAGGCUCCGAUCUUUAGGGGCCCUGAGAGGGUGAUCCCCCACACUGGGACUGAGACACGGACCAGACUCCUACGCGAGGCAGCAGUGAGGAAUAUUGGUCAAUGGGCGCAAGCCUGAACCAGCCAUCCCGCGUGAAGGAAGAAUGCGCUAUGCGUUGUAAACUUCUUUUCCGGAGGAAUAAAAUUUUGUACGAGUACAGGACUGAAGGUACUCCGGGAAUAAGCAUCGGCUAACUCCGUGCCAGCCGCCGCGGUAAUAC